AAAUCGUUCGAGAGCCAAAACUUAAACCUCCGCAGAUCCUCUGCCAGCAGAUCAUCCAGAGUGAAAACGAGCAAGGACCGGACUCCAGCCAUCUCAGCUCACUAGACAAAGUGGAAAAUCGGAUAUAAAAAACCAGUCAUACAGGAGCAAAGAACAGCGAUGUUUGAUUUAGAGAAAGAACAGGAACAAUAAGGUAUGCUUUCACUGGGAAGUGAAAGCAUUCUCCAUAUCCGGACUGUUCACGCAAGCGGAAUUUCCCAGUAGAGCGCUUCCCGUCAGAGCUCUCGCCGUCCAACUCAAGACAAGGAAGAUUGCUGAAAAGUCCACAAUUACAGUAACGGUGCCGCUACACGUGUGUUGACUAAUGCAACUACGGGGCGUGGUUUGUGCGAUGCGGUAAAUCUUGUUGAUAUAGCGUGGUUUGGGGGAAAAAUGACGCGACUGGCAUAUGUUGAAAUGCCCAUUAUGGCCGCUAUGUUGACAUGUCAGUUUCCCUUGCUGGCAAUGAAAACAUACAGACCUCCAGAACAAUAUCUCUCCACUCUUCUGAAAGAUUUUUCAGUUCUGCUGUCAGUCAUUCAACUUUGAUAGGUGUAUUUUAGUUUGUGAUUUUAACCGACGUGCUGAUAAUAAGGAAGAUAUCAGAGCAAUGGAAAGUCUAUUGGACUGUGUGGAUUACCGGCCACACCCGGUCAUAUUACAUGGGUUUAACAUAAAUGUUAUCAUCUAUUGAUGACUUGGCUUUAUCUGACCAUCAUUGUAUCUUUUUCCAAAUAUUUUUAGCUGUACCAUACCGAAUUUUAAUGCGGACAUUGUUUUUCUUUAAAUGUAUUUAUUUAUUUAUUUAUUUAUUUAUUUUUAAAGUGCCGACUGAGCUCUGAAGUAGCCAAAAACUUCAUAGCUUAUGUAAAUGGAACUCCAAAAAGUAAAACCUACUGUGACCUUGUAUAUGAUUUUAAUUGAAGUUUGAAAAACAGCCCCUGUUGCUCCUGUUAAGAUAAAGAAAACAAUCUUGAAGAGGAGAGUUCCAUGAAAAAAAUAAGUGAUUAUUGGAUUAAAAAGAUACUGUUUUUAGGACUGCUGAGUGCAAAUGGAGAAAAACAGAAUUACAUGUGCACGAAACUAGGAUUCAGUGACAAUAAUGUUUAUUAUUAUGCACCAAUACUAAACAGUACUCCACAAAUCUCCAACAAUGAUGUCAAAAGUCACUUGUACUCAGCAUGGUACAGUAGUUGUACAUCAGUGCUCCUUGAUUGGUAUUGAAGAUGAGUUACUGUAAUGCUAUCCCUUUCAACAAUGCAGAAAAUACAGUAUGCAUGACCGCUAAAGUUUUAA